UCUAAUCAGAUCACUACGAGUAGUAAAUUUUUGUUCCUUCUGCCCAAACCACUUGUCAGCGCCUGCACAUUUUGUAGUCAAGAUUGCUGUUUAUCAGAGGAUUUGCUCAAUAAAAAUUUGAAUAAUAAAUAAAUCAGAGAAAUUACUACUCAAGGUAGUAGAGUUCUGUUUGAUUCUUCUGUAUGGGCAAGCACCACUUGGAAUCAAAUAAUCAAAAAGUAAUUUUAUGUUUGGAUAAAAAAGACCAGAAAGUCGGUGUAUUG
rnacentral:lncRNA from 1 species